rnacentral:rRNA from 1 species
GAGUCGAUGAAGAACGCAGCUAGCUGGAUUAAAUAGUGCGAAUUGCAGACGCAUUGAGCACAAAGGUUUCGAACGUACAUUGCACCAUCGGGUUGCAUCCCGAUGGUACGUCUGGCUGAGGGUCGAU